GGCACCUUGUUUCACUUCCCCAUCUCUUAUUUCAUUAACUCAGAAAAUUCAGGGCUGGGCUCUGGGUGGGACCCAAGACACAAAGUGCCCCGGCUCUUGAGGAGUGGGUGGUGUAAGAAGAGAUUACAUCCCCUUUUUCACUGACCUCAGGCUAUCUGGAGGAGUAAAUGAUAUGGGACCAUUGUUACUGUUUGCCAUUCAUGGGGGUGUGGAGAAGCUCCAGUCAUGCCUGUUCCUGGCACUCGCAAAUUUCUGGGAAAAUUCCUGUUUUCAUCCCUCUGUAUUUCUACAUCACCACCAGGUAGAAUUCAUCCUGCUGAAAAGGUCUGAGCCUUCAUUUCUUUGGAGAUCCUCUAAAAAACAACUGCUUAUCACCAGGGUCCAAGACACCCGAACAGAGGUGGGUGGAUGGCCACAAGGCUAA
rnacentral:lncRNA from 1 species